rnacentral:rRNA from 1 species
AUGGGGAAUGGCGGUUCAGUUGUGGGCAUGGUCCGGGGAUUUGGUGUUGGCGGCCUAGCGCCUGUGCCGGUCGGCAUGGUCCAUGGACAAAUGAACACCGCGCGGCAGGGGCAGCAGCCUGGCCCAAUGAUGUACCCGAUGGCACCGACCAACGCCAUGUUCCCAGUGAUGGGCAACGACAUGGGGUUCGUCCCCAAUGGGUACGCAGGGAUGGACGUUGUGACGCCGGCACCACCUCCUCUAGGUGGGGUAGGUAUCAUGAGCCCCGGGUCGUCAGACGGGAGGAGUGCCAUGACACAGGCUGACAUGAUGAACUGCAUGGGCGACAGAGCGAUGAUGGAAAACUGCGAUGCCCCGGAGGAUCAGUCCUGCAAGAGGAGCAUCGAGCGUCGCCACUGCCGUAUGAUCAAGAAUCGUGAGUCAUGCACGAUCGCUUAUACUGUGGAGCUUGAAGCUGAACUGAACCACCUCCAGGAGGAGAAAGCUCGUCUGAAAGCUGAGGAGCUGGUGGAGAAGAUGAUGGAACAGUCCAAGGAGAACGUGAACUCCAAGAAAGGUGGUGUCCUAUCGUGGCGCAACAGAAGCUGCAUCUGUCGAUCUACUUUCCCCCUCUGUCAUGACUUCCUGCUUGAUGGUCCGACUAGCCUUCAGUUGCGCUCCCUCGUUGGCCAACCAUGA